rnacentral:rRNA from 1 species
GGGGAAUAUUGGACAAUGGGCGAAAGCCUGAUCCAGCCAUGCCGCGUGUGUGAAGAAGGUCUUCGGAUUGUAAAGCACUUUAAGUUGGGAGGAAGGGUUUCUGGCUAAUAUCCAGGAAUUUUGACGUUACCGACAGAAUAAGCACCGGCUAACUUCGUGCCAGCAGCCGCGGUAAUACGAAGGGUGCAAGCGUUAAUCGGAAUUACUGGGCGUAAAGCGCGCGUAGGUGGUUCGUUAAGUUGGAUGUGAAAGCCCCGGGCUCAACCUGGGAACUGCAUCCAAAACUGGCGAGCUAGAGGUAGGGAGAGGGUGGGGGAAUUUCCUGUGUAGCCGUGAAAUGCGUAGAUAUAGGAAAGAAAACCAGGGGCGAAGGGGGCCACCUGGGCUAAUACUGACACUGGGGUGCGAAAGCGUGGGGAGCAAACA